GUGAGCGCCGGCGGGAGCGGCCCGGCGCCCUCGCCGCCGUGGACGGCGAAAGCGCCCCGGCGGUGCGUCAGCGUUCCGGUGCGGCGCGCGCGUAC
rnacentral:tRNA from 1 species